AAGCGGUAGGAAGCGGUCGAUGGCAUUGUGGAGCAGUGUUGUCGUUGAAAAUAAUAAAACUUAUAAAUUGCUACAAGACAGUUCGUUGUUAUCUCAGGUGGAUUUAAAGGCAGAUUUUCUGAAGAAAAGGGUGUUUUACAAUGGUUUUCUCAUGGAAUGCGAUCAGCCAUCUUCCACGAAAAUGACCGUUUUCCUCGAACCGAGAGAUGGUUUCCUGGUAAAACAGGAAGAAAGAUGAAACGCUGAAUGCUUUCCUUUAGUUCUUCUUCACCAUCAUUAUCCCGACACAUGGCAACGACAUUCGUAGCACGCCUCCUUCGGAGUUGCUCCAAAGCAUACACAACAGUAGGUUGAUCAAGAAGAACCACUAGUUCGCAUGG